CACGGGGGUUCAAACCAGCCAGGAAGCUCAGGGCCCCACUCCUGUGCUAAGCAGGCUCAGGCCUGGUUGGUGCUUGGAUGGGAGACUCCCAGGGCUAAGAUGGGGGCUGCAGGGU
rnacentral:rRNA from 1 species